AAGUCGUAACAAGGUUUCCGUAGGUGAACCUGCGGAAGGAUCAUUAGUGAAUUUUAGGGUGCCCUCUCGCUAUUCUCUCUUUAACUGGAGUUGGCGUCAGAGGGGCCUGACCUCCACUUUCUACCCUGUGCACUAUUUCUAAAGGUCGAAUUCGAGAAAUGAGCCUUUACGGGCUCGGCUCUUGUCUUCGCCUUUUCAAUUUUAUAAACACAAAGUCAAAGAAUGUAUUAAAAUCAUAACAAAAAAAACUUUCAACAACGGAUCUCUUGGCUCUC
rnacentral:misc_RNA from 1 species